GACGUACCACCCAAACGUUAUUCGGAUUCAUUGGGCGUAAAGGGUGCGUAGGCGGCGCGGUAAGUCGGGUGUGAAAUCUCGGAGCUUAACUCCGAAACUGCAUUCGAUACUGCCGUGCUUGAGGACUGGAGAGGAGACUGGAAUUUACGGUGUAGCGGUGAAAUGCGUAGAUAUCGUAAGGAAGACCAGUGGCGAAGGCGGGUCUCUGGACAGUUCCUGACGCUGAGGCACGAAGGUCAGGGGAGCAAACGGG
rnacentral:rRNA from 1 species